CUGUCCCAGGUGGUCCUGGCCCUGUAUGUGGGCGCCCGCGGUCUUUACAACCCUCCCCAGGGCCGGAAGUGACCGGUUCAGAUGAAAGCCAGCCUGCUUCGGAGAGGUGGCUGCCUUGGCUUCCGUGUCUCAGGAUUCACCCGCAGCUUCUACACCUUUCUCCUGCCUGUCACCACCACCUGUGAGCCUGGUCCCCAUGCUCCACCCUCUCCGCAGGUAAAUGCACGGACCAGCCCCUCAGAGCAAGACUGAAUCUCUGUGCAUGUCAAUUCCAAAUUCCCAGGGUCGGGCCUCUGUCUGUCCAUUUGGCAUUCUGUCUCUUUGCUCCCCGAGUAUCACCUCUGUACCCAGGAUUGCUGUGGGCCAGGCAACUCUCCUGAAGGUUGGAAACAUCCUAGAAGCUGGAACACAUGCUCCCAGGUGAUGGUACAUUCACUUAAUAAAAGCAAGAUGCCUGUGUUUGAAGAGUAGACUGCGUGGUGGCCCUGAGCAUGGACAGGAGAGAACUGAGCCUCCUCUGUCCUGCCCCUAGGGCGCCAGGGAUGUGUGGGGAGUCUGUUACUUUAAGUGGAGGGAAGAAGGUCUCUUCCCAGGGCUCUGGGCUUUGCAGACCUUGCCUUAAACAAACAGGAGAACUUAUUUGUCUUCGGUCAAACUACACAGAGAUCAAGGGGCAGGUGACCCCUUUUAGUUUGGAGUGAUGGGGUCACUAGUUUAUUUGCUCAUGGGCGGAGAUGAUCCCCAGUGGGGGGGGAGAACUGACUCGUGGUGCUUAGACCUCAGCGCUUUGCCUGCUUUGUUCACAUAAUCCUGACGGUGCAGACAGCCGGGAUGGUGGUGGGCUGCUAAGUGGCACCCAGCGCCACUCAGGUGGCCUCCAACUCUUCCCUCCCAACACGCCUCUCUGCACACAUUCUUCCUGAAGUCCCCACCUCUCCUCUGCUUGGCCCCUCCCCCACCCUCCCCAUCUGUUCUCCUAAGCUGCCCCCCAUCUGGGCCCUCCGUAUUUCUCAGCACGCUGGAUGACCCACAAGGAUGUUGGCACCUGUGCUGCCCAGCUACCCUCUCAAUGGAUGGUAUGAACCUCCCGUGCAGGAGAUGCCAGAGAGCCUUAAUGCUAAUUAUUGACUUGGCAUUAGCACCCUGACUUGAACACAUGCCACGUGUGUU